AAUAUGCCUUUCCGCGGGGAAUAACUAGGCGAAAGCUUAGCUAAUACCGCAUGAUCCGACGAUGGCUCCGGUCAUUUUCGGUAAAGCCGUAAGGCGCGGAAAGAGUAGCCUGAAUCCCAUUAGCUAGUUGGUAAGGUAACGGCUUACCAAGGCUUUGAUGGGUAGGUGGUCUGAGAGGGCGAUCACCCACACUGGAACUGAGACACGGUCCAGACUCCUACGGGAGGCAGCAGUUAGGAAUCUUGCGCAAUGGGAGAAAUCCUGACGCAGCAACGCCGCGUGAGGGACGAAGGCCUUCGGGUUGUAAACCUCUUUUGGUUGGGACGAUUCAGGACGGUACCAACAGAAAAAGCACCGGCUAACUCUGUGCCAGCAGCCGCGGUGAUACAGAGGGUGCAAGCGUUAUUCGGAAUUACUGGGCGUAAAGCGCGCGCAGGCUGUUUAGCAAGUCUACUGUGAAAGCCUCCGUUUCAAGCGGAGAAGUGC
rnacentral:rRNA from 1 species